UGCCAGCCGCCGCGGUAAUACGUGAGCCACGAACGCUAACCGGAAUUAUUGGGCGUAAAGGGUCCGUAGGGGGAUAAGUAAGUAGUAUGUAACAGUCACUGGCUCAACCAGUGUUUCGCGUACUAAACUGCUAAUCUAGAGGAUGUUAGGGGCUAGUGGAAUUUCCAGAGUAGGGGUAAUAUCCGUAGAUACUGGAAGGAACACCAAUAGCGAAGGCAACUAGCUGGAACAUUCCUGACCCUCAGGGACGAAAGUGUGGGGAGCGAACAGGAUUAGAUA
rnacentral:rRNA from 1 species